rnacentral:rRNA from 1 species
AUUGAACGCUGGCGGCAGGCCUAACACAUGCAAGUCGAACGAGUGGCGGACGGGUGAGUAAUGUAUGGGAAACUGCCCGAUAGAGGGGGAUAACUACUGGAAACGGUAGCUAAUACCGCAUACUAUCGGAUGUGCCCAGAUGGGAUUAGCUAGUAGGUGGGGUAAUGGCUCACCUAGGCGACGAUCCCUAGCUGGUCUGAGAGGAUGACCAGCCACACUGGAACGGAGACACGGCCCAGACUCCUACGGGAGGCAGCAGUGGGGAAUAUUGCACAAUUGGCGCAAGCCUGAUGCAGCCAUGCCGCGUGUAUGAAGAAGGCCUUCGGGUUGUAAAGUACUUUCAGCGGGGAGGCGUUACCCGCAGAAGAAGCACCGGCUAACUCCGUGCCAGCAGCCGCGGUAAUUC